GUGACUUUCACUAAGAUGUACAGAGCAUUUUAGAAGACAUAGUUUGUGUCAUGUGGGAGUUUAAAAUCUGAAAGCCAAGAGGCCAUUAAAAAUCAAGAGCCAAGGUGACCACAUCAGUCUGGAACCAUGAGUUGCACUGUACACAGAGGAUUGAAAGGAUAGACCUGAGAGGGCUGGGACACGUGCAGAAGCACAAGUGCAGCUGCCGUUCUGUGAGGAAGCCCCAGCAGCCGAGUGGAGAGGCCCCCGCCGGAGAGGAACGGAGCUCGCCUGAACUCCCCGCCAGCAGCCGGUCCAGCUGAGCCAGGCGAGUGAAGCCAUUCUGUGCCUCCCAGCCAUUCCAGGGUCCCCGCGGACCCUGCACGAAGAAGAAAAGCCACCUGGUCAACCGACAGAAUUGCCCGCUGCCCAGAGACAACAUCUCUGGCUGUUCCUGUUUGUGGUUUUUCUCCAGACUGCAUAUCACGAAUGUGUACCUCCAUUCCUCGGUUACCGUCUUCAGACGAGAGCUCUUCACGCCGCGAUAGCUAAGCUGAGGGUUUAGCUCACUGCUCCCAGUGGCUGAACGUCCUGUUACCGUCUUUGGUUCCCGGGUGAGCAUCUCCUAAUCCAACAACAGUUGCUGAUGUCUCUGGAUUCCCAGCUUUGUCAGAUGAGGAUGUCAGCACCCUGUCCCUUCCUUUCUGCUUUUCUCCUCCCUCCAGUAGCCUGUAUUCUGUGGCUCUAUUUCAACCACUUCACAGCACUGCGUUGUGUAACCUAGGGUGCAUGCCUCCUAGGGGAGCGUCCACGAAUUCCUCGAAAUUAGGUGCAAAACUGUGUGUGUAUUUACAUUCCAUUUCCUGGGGAGAAUUCAGAACUUCCAUCAGGUUCUCGAAGGGGUGCUAAGAUCCAAAGGUGGAAUACUGGACCUUAUACUGGCGUCUCCCACCUGCCCCCAGGUCCACCCUCACAUCUCAUCCCCAUCGCCCAGGGGGCUGACUCACACGUGAUGGGCAUCAGCAGUUCUCACGCACUUGGCUUCUGUCUGGGUUCAGCCUGGGGGGGCCUUGGGGGGUGUCAGAGGAGAGGAGGAGGGUGAAGAAGGGCACGCCUCUCAGCAGGGCCGUCUCAGACUGGCUGCACCUCACUGAAGGACCCUGCUCCACACGGCUCUCUCCUUUGAUUCCAGGAACCACUCCAUCUCCUGGGACUUCAGCUGCAGAGGUGAUAAUGGCUUAGUUGCUCCUAGCCUUUAGGUCACUGCCAUUGUCCCUUGUGGUCCUACCACACCCCACCCACACCUUUGUAAAUUGUCCCUUUAAUAACCCACCUUGAGUUAUCCUAAUCUGGCUGUGGCAUUUGUUUCCUGUUGGGACUCUAUUAUUGAUCAGGUUCCUUGGACACAGACUCUGAGAUGGAGGUUGUGUGUGGGGUGCUUUGGGCAAAGGGAGAAUUGAACUGUGGUGUUAUCUCAGUGGGGGUCUGAGCUGACCCUGUGGGAGAUCUGAAGCUGGGAUAGCCUUUAGAGUUAUCCCGAAUCCAGGCAAAGGGGCAGGCCUUGACCGACACCCCCAAAGACCAGUCAGUAGAUACCAGGAGGGGAUGUAACCUUGGGUAAAGUAAAUUUCUCCAGGUGGGAGCAGGAAGGGCCUACUGGCAGCAGCACUAGCCCUCCCCUGGGACAGUGAGAGCCCAGGUGUCGAAGGGGCUGGGGGAACGCCUGCGGAACCCACUACAGCCCUGACCCGGCUCUGGCCUUCUAGACUAGGUCUUUGUUCCCUGCAUCCUGAUCCCUAGCCGUGGCUGGCACACAGUAGGCACUCAGUAAAUGUCUGUGGAAUGAAUGGAUGGUGUAAGAAGCUUCUUAGAUUAAAAUUCAUGACCUCAGAGCUCUUGUGUGUCACUGUUUUUUUUAAUUUAACUUUUUGUCUUGAAAUAGUUUCACACUUACAGAAAACAUAUAAAAAUAGGACAAAAAAAGUCAUCCAGAUUUCCCAAUUAUUAACAUUUUGCACUCAUCCCUCACUCUCUCUCUCUAUACAUAUAUAUACACAUAAAUACCCUCAUACUAUUAUUGUUAUUAUUAUUAUUAGUUUAUGGAACACUUGAGAAAGUUGGAGACCUCCAGCUCCUUUACCCCUAAAUACUACAGUGUAUAUCUCUAAAACACAAGGGCAUCUUCCUGUCCUCAGUACAACUUAUCAAAUUCAAGAGAUCUGACAUUGACUCAACGCUUUUAUCUAAUGCACGAUCCCUGUACACAUUUCCCCACUUGUCCCUAUCAUGUCCUGUAUAGAACCCCCUCCCCGGAUUGGGGAUCUGAUCCCAGGUCACACAGUGCAUUCAGCUGGCAUGUCUCUCUCUCUCCUAUCUUUGUCCUGUAUGACCUUGGCAUUUUUGAGAUCCACAGACCAAUUGUUUUGGGAAACGCUCUUCAGUUUGGGUCUGUUGCCUCAGGAUGAGACUCAGGUGAUGCUUUUUGUCAGGAGUAGGAUCCCGCCUAUCCCUCUUCAUCUCCAGACCUGGCAGGUUCAAAGUUCACAGCGUCUCUCAUCCCACAGGGAGGAGCCCCUCUACCUAGUUUCUAUUCUUAUGUCAAGGUCCAAGAGUUAAAUGACCUACUCGAGGGGGGUCGCACACUUAGGGAAUGACUGAGCCGAGGUCAAAUCUAGGUGUCCUUAGCUGCAGCUCAGAAUCUUUUCUGUCACACCCAGUAAAACAAAUGACAGUGACAAACACGUUUUUAUUCACAGCCUUUCCGCUCGCCUCUGUCUGGCCUUCCUAACCCAGCCCUUUGUUGUGUUAAUUGGGGUAACGGGUGGGGACGCCACAGGAAAAUGCUAGAGUUAGAAAGGCUAAAUUGAUUUUCAAAAGAAAGCACUUAGAGCUACUCUCCGAAGGAAGCUCUCUUGGCGAGGGUGUGGGAGAGAGGGGAAGAGGGGGUGAGUGAGACAGAAAGCUGGCAGGGCCUGGAGAGGGUGAGGGUGAGAGAGGCAAGUGAGUAGCAUCUGCCCUGUGGUGUGGACUUCGGAGAGAGAGACGGGUACAAGGCGUUUUCAGGAAGUGUACAGUGGGCUGUGGUCCCCCAAACUCCUCUCCUUCCUCUCCUCCUGUGUUUGCCUCUUCAAGAGACUUUAGAAAAAAAUUUUUCAAGGCUUUGGGAGAGGACCAUGUUCCAUUUGAAUUAAACUCUGUGUUCAGACUGGCCCCGAGGUUACAUAUUCUGGUUACAUGCGAAUGGAGGUGAUUUCCUUUGGGUGGACUGUAAGGGCUGCUUUUGUGCAAUAAACACUUACAGGUGUAGGAGAUCAAGAUUUGGCCACCCUGGAAUAUAUCUCUUUACCUUGAUUGUUUUCUCUGAUGGACAUUUGACCUCCCCCACUAACUGCCUAAAGAAUUUGACACAGUAACUCCUUCAUGGAACAGAUCUUCUAUCUGAUGGCUGUAAUAUAAUGUAAAAUAGAUGUUACAAUAGGAAAGGCACCAACAAGCCCAUCUUAUCGGAAGUUCUCUCUCCCUGGCCACAUUCUCUGGAUGGCCCUGCGAGGAGUUGCCAGACAAACAUUUACAUUUAUAAGGGAACUCUCCAUUUGUAAAGGUAUCUCCCUCUCUGUAUUGGGAAGAGGGGGGAUGACCUCAUUUCUAGAAACUUAUCAAUGUGGAAGUUGAGGCCUUAAAUCUGCAUAAUAACCUUACUCUUGUUUACUGUGCUUUAGUGGUAAUCUCCUGUAACUGACUCCCCCCACCCCCAACAUCCUUCUUUGUCAUUGGCUGAAUAUGGUAUUUAAGACGAGAAUCUCUGCUAUUGUGUUGAGAAACGCAGUGUCCCUGCUUUCUCCCAUGUAUACAUGUUAUUAAACUUGGUAU